CCAUGACCACACAACUCAUCUUCUUCCUCAAGAUUCAUGACCUUGCUCUCCAAGGCUUCUAGAACUCCUUGCUCCCCAAGUAUUCUUCACCAUUAAGUCUUUAUUAGUUUAAUAGAAUCUUCUUCCUAAAACCACUAUAAAUAGUGGGUUAAUUUCACCAUUUCUCACCCACUUAAAACUUACAAAUUAUAACCAUAACCUCCAUUUAUACUAUCAAAUAAAAAUCUGAAUUUUCAUUGAUGUGUCUUAUUCUUUUUGAGUACCCAUGAAUGGCCCUAAAUACCCACUCUCUUCCUCCUUUGAUUUUAGGUUGUCGUACUAUUUUUCCCCAAUAUCUUCUUCUUCCAGUCAGAAUUUGCAUAUACUUACUUCAUAAAAGUUGUAGAUCACGAAAAGUUAUUGAAUUUAGACCCAAAAAUCAUCUGAUUCGGAGUUUGGAGUAAAGAGUUAGACCCUCUGGAAGUUUUCUGUUAUUGCUGCCAAAUAUUAUACGUUCCUCUGGUUCCUUUGUUUAAAUUCUGAUUCAUGGAACCCGAAAGUCUAUUUGUUUGGUUAAGAACGCUAUGGUUUUAUGGAGGAUGAUUCUUGGAGAUGACGACACUUAAUGAGUAAAGGAAAUGAAUUAGUGUAUAAGGUAUUUAUGAAGAUAGCGCAAGUUCAGUUAGGACAUGGAUGUUCUGGUUGGAUUAUAUUGAAGUGACUCUGUACAAUUUGGGAUUUUUUAUCAUACUAUGUAUUAUAUAAUUAUUACUCUAUUUGAGAGUUUGUAUAUUUUUAGAGACCAUUUUAAGGCUAUUAUUUUAUUUAUAGGCCUAUAACCCACAGCUUAAGUUCCGUUUCCGCUGUCAAUCAUGAGUAAUUAAGGUUCUGAAUUCUCGGGGCGUUACACCAACCCCUACAACCACCACGAGCAAGCCGCAAAAACACAAAAAAAUUACCCUCCGGCUAGGACGUUUCCGCCAUGAUGGCAGAUGGUAAUUCUUUUGGUUUCGUUGGUGGUUGUGCAUGGUUUAGUGGGUGGUGUGCGUGGCCUCGAUGGUGGUUUGCGUGAUUUCGAUGGUGGUUGUUUGUGUAGUAGUGGUGGUUGUUGGGUACUAAGGGGGUUUGGUGAUGGUGAGGAUGAAAAAGAAAAUUAAGGGUAAAAUUAUACUUUCAAUUAUGUUCUUAGAUGAUUUUAAGAAAUUUUGUUGCGAUGAUUAACAAUCUCAGUUGAAUAU